AGAUGUGAGGGGUGAUCUGGCUGUGACAUCUGUCACCCCGUUGAUCGCCAUGGUUGAUUCGACUGAUCUGGCUGGCUAGGCGGGUGUCUCCUUCCUCCCUCACCGCUCCAUGCGCGUCCCUCCCAGAGCUGCACACUCGGUAGAAGAAGACAACCUUCUCCGAUAGGGGAGAGGACCGUUCUUCAGUCAAGGGUAUACGAAUAUCUGCGCUCCCCUGCUAGAACCUCCAAACAAGCUCUCAAGCAUCUUGAACAGAGAACACAAGAGUUGACAGAUUUCUCUGGUUCAGUCAUUAUUGGUAGAUUAAUCAUU
ensembl:misc_RNA 7SK 7SK RNA